rnacentral:rRNA from 1 species
UGAGGAAUAUUGGUCAAUGGUCGAGAGACUGAACCAGCCAAGUCGCGUGAAGGAUGGCUGCCCUAUGGGUUGUAAACUUCUUUUACAAGGGAAUAAAAUGAGAUACGUGUAUUUUAUUGCAUGUACCUUGUGAAUAAGCAUCGGCUAACUCCGUGCCAGCAGCCGCGGUAAUACGGAGGAUGCGAGCGUUAUCCGGAUUUAUUGGGUUUAAAGGGUGCGUAGGUGGGCUGUUAAGUCAGCGGUGAAAGUUUGUCGCUUAACGAUAAAAUUGCCGUUGAAACUGGUAGUCUUGAGUAUAGAUGAAGUAGGCGGAAUGCGUGGUGUAGCGGUGAAAUGCAUAGAGAUCACGCAGAACUCCGAUUGCGAAGGCAGCUUACUAAGGUAUAACUGACACUGAAGCACGAAAGCGUGGGUAUCAAACAGG